UUUAAUCGUACUGCAUAGGAUAAAUCUUAAUAUACAAGAGAAGAUAUUUGUACUCAGCACAUGUCUAAUCCAACCAAACAACAUCUCCUCCAUGCAAUCUUUUAUUACAGACAACCAAACACCAUCUAAUCAUAUCCGGGCUUAUUCAAUACAGGCAACCAAACAAGCGCAUCUGCAUGUACAAAAACAUGCCAAACUCAGCCUGGAUUAGAGAGAUGGGCUAGGCUAGGAUGGAUCAAGCAACCAAACACACCCAAUCUGGAUGACAUUGUUACAGUGAGUAUUCCUACAUAUAUAGGAAAAUAAUAUAUAGUCCAAUAUUUCGCUUGCUUAAUUGUUCAUCUUCCUCUUAUUGAAGAACUGGUUUAGUAAUUACAACCACCACAUAGGCAUAGGCAUUACAUUAAUUUUAUCUGUACUUCUAUCCACACAAUUUAUUGGCAUGUGAAUAUUCUUCCUAUACUUCAUAGCUGUAUUUUUAGUCUGUACUGGUUUGUAAGUUGUAACACUAUACAUCAUCACAAUGUGAAUUUAGGAACACAUAUUUCUAGUAUUCUAGUUAAGAUCUGAAAAACAGACUCACAUGUAAGUUGCAAGACCUUUGAUGGACUUUUUCAUAUUAGAUAUGAACCUUGGAACCCGAAUCUUGUCUACACGAAGAGGUCAAGCAGCUGCAGUGUGCAGC
rnacentral:lncRNA from 1 species